AGAGUUUGAUCCUGGCUCAGGACGAACGCUGGCGGCACGCUUAACACAUGCAAGUCGAACGAGAGAAGAGGAGCUUGCUUUUCUGAUCUAGUGGCGGACGGGUGAGUAACACGUGAGCAAUCUGCCUUUCAGAGGGGGAUACCGAUUGGAAACGAUCGUUAAUACCGCAUAACAUAAUUGAACCGCAUGAUUUGAUUAUCAAAGAUUUAUCGCUGAAAGAUGAGCUCGCGUCUGAUUAGCUAGUUGGUAAGGUAACGGCUUACCAAGGCGACGAUCAGUAGCCGGACUGAGAGGUUGAUCGGCCACGUUGGGACUGAGACACGGCCCAGACUCCUACGGGAGGCAGCAGUGGGGAAUAUUGCACAAUGGAGGAAACUCUGAUGCAGCGAUGCCGCGUGAGGGAAGAAGGUUUUAGGAUUGUAAACCUCUGUCUUCAGGGACGAAAAAAGACGGUACCUGAGGAGGAAGCUCCGGCUAACUACGUGCCAGCAGCCGCGGUAAUACGUAGGGAGCGAGCGUUGUCCGGAAUUACUGGGUGUAAAGGGAGCGUAGGCGGGAUCGCAAGUCAGAUGUGAAAACUAUGGGCUUAACCCAUAAACUGCAUUUGAAACUGUGGUUCUUGAGUGAAGUAGAGGUAAGCGGAAUUCCUAGUGUAGCGGUGAAAUGCGUAGAUAUUAGGAGGAACAUCAGUGGCGAAGGCGGCUUACUGGGCUUUAACUGACGCUGAGGCUCGAAAGCGUGGGGAGCAAACAGGAUUAGAUACCCUGGUAGUCCACGCCGUAAACGAUGAUUACUAGGUGUGGGGGGACUGACCCCUUCCGUGCCGCAGCAAACGCAAUAAGUAAUCCACCUGGGGAGUACGACCGCAAGGUUGAAACUCGAAGGAAUUGACGGGGGCCCGCACAAGCAGUGGAGUAUGUGGAUUAAUUCGAAGCAACGCGAAGAACCUUACCAGGUCUUGACAUCGUAUGCAUAGCUCAGAGAUGAGUGAAAUCUCUUCGGAGACAUAUAGACAGGUGGUGCAUGGUUGUCGUCAGCUCGUGUCGUGAGAUGUUGGGUUAAGUCCCGCAACGAGCGCAACCCUUACUGUUAGUUGCUACGCAAGAGCACUCUAGCAGGACUGCCGUUGACAAAACGGAGGAAGGUGGGGAUGACGUCAAAUCAUCAUGCCCCUUAUGACCUGGGCCUCACACGUACUACAAUGGCUGUCAACAGAGGGAAGCAAAGCCGCGAGGUGGAGCGAACCCCUAAAAGCAGUCUUAGUUCGGAUUGUAGGCUGCAACCCGCCUACAUGAAGUCGGAAUUGCUAGUAAUCGCAGAUCAGCAUGCUGCGGUGAAUACGUUCCCGGGCCUUGUACACACCGCCCGUCACGCCAUGGGAGUCGGUAACACCCGAAGCCUGUAGUCUAACCGCAAGGAGGACGCAGUCGAAGGUGGGAUUGAUGACUGGGGUGAAGUCGUAACAAGGUA
rnacentral:rRNA from 1 species